AGUGAACGCUGGCGGUACGCCUAACACAUGCAAGUCGAAUGGCAGUACAGUAAGAGCUUGCUCUUACGGGAGGCGAGUGGCGGACGGGCGCGGAAUACAUCGGAAUCUACUUUUUCGUGGGGGAUAACGUAGGGAAACUUACGUUAAUACCGCAUACGACCUACGGGUGAAAGCAGGGGAUCUUCGGACCUUGCGCGAUUGAAUGAGCCGAUGUCGGAUUAGCUAGUUGGCGGGGUAAAGGCACACCAAGGCGACGAUCCGUAGCUGGUCUGAGAGGAUGAUCAGCCACACUGGAACUGGGACACGGUCCAGACUCCUACGGGAGGCAGCAGUGGGGAAUAUUGAACAAUGGGCGCAAGCCUGAACCGGCCAUACCGCAUGGGUGAAGAAGGCCUUCGGGUUGUAAAGCCCUUUUGUUGGGAAAGAAAAGCAGCAGGUUAAUACCCCGCUGUUCUGACGGUACCCAAAGAAUAAGCGCCGGCUAACUUCGUG
rnacentral:rRNA from 1 species